GAAACGACUGCUAAGACUGGAUAGGAGACAAGAAGGCAUCUUCUUGUUUUUAAAAGACCUAGCAAUAGGUAUGCUUAGGGAGGAGCUUGCGUCACAUUAGUUAGUUGGUGGGGUAAAGGCCUACCAAGACUAUGAUGUGUAGCCGGGCUGAGAGGUUGAACGGCCACAUUGGGACUGAGACACGGCCCAAACUCCUACGGGAGGCAGCAGUAGGGAAUUUUCGGCAAUGGAGGAAACUCUGACCGAGCAACGCCGCGUGAACGAUGAAGUAUUUCGGUACGUAAAGUUCUUUUAUUAGGGAAGAAUAAAUGAUGGAAAAAUCAUUCUGACGGUACCUAAUGAAUAAGCCCCGGCUAACUAUGUGCCAGCAGCCGCGGUAAUACAUAGGGGGCAAGCGUUAUCCGGAAUUAUUGGGCGUAAAGGGUGCGUAGGCGGUUAAAUAAGUUUAUGGUCUAAGUGCAAUGCUCAACAUUGUGAUGCUAUAAAAACUGUUUAGCUAGAGUAAGAUAGAGGCAAGUGGAAUUCCAUGUGUAGUGGUAAAAUGCGUAAAUAUAUGGAGGAACACCAGUAGCGAAGGCGGCUUGCUGGGUCUUUACUGACGCUGAGGCACGAAAGCGUGGGGAGCAAACAGGAUUAGAUACCCUGGUAGUCCACGCCGUAAACGAUGAGUACUAAACGUUGGGUAAAACCAGUGUUGAAGUUAACACAUUAAGUACUCCGCCUGAGUAGUACGUACGCAAGUAUGAAACUUAAAGGAAUUGACGGGACUCCGCACAAGCGGUGGAUCAUGUUGUUUAAUUCGAAGGUACCCGAAAAACCUCACCAGGUCUUGACAUGCUUCUGCAAAGCUGUAGAAACACAGUGGAGGUUAUCAGUUGCACAGGUGGUGCAUGGUUGUCGUCAGCUCGUGUCGUGAGAUGUUGGGUUAAGUCCCGCAACGAGGGCAACCCUUAUUGUUAGUUACCAGCACGUAAUGGUGGGGACUUUAGCAAGACUGCCAGUGAUAAAUUGGAGGAAGGUGGGGACGACGUCAAAUCAUCAUGCCCCUUAUGGCCUGGGCUACAAACGUGAUACAAUGGCUGUUACAAAGGGUAGCUGAAGCGCAAGUUUUUGGCGAAUCUCAAAAAAACAGUCUCAGUUCGGAUUGAAGUCUGCAACCCGACUUCAUGAAGUUGGAAUCGCUAGUAAUCGCGAAUCAGCAUGUCGCGGUGAAUACGUUCGCGGGGUUUGUACACACCGCCCGUCA
rnacentral:rRNA from 1 species